GUUAUAUGGUCAAGCAUUUAAGCGUGCGUGGUGGAUGCCUUGGCAGCCAGAGGCGAUGAAGGACGUGGUAGGCUACGAAAAGCCUCGGGGAGCCGUCAAACAGGCUUUGAUCCGGGGGUGUCCGAAUGGGGAAACCCACCUGACUUGUCAGGUAUCCCUUACUGAAUCCAUAGGUAAGGGAGGCGAACGCGGGGAACUGAAACAUCUAAGUACCCGCAGGAAAAGAAAUCAAACGAGAUUCCCUGAGUAGCGGUGAGCGAAAGGGGAUUAGCCUUAAGUUGAUACAGUGUUAGUGGAACGGUCUGGAAAGUCCGGCGAUAGAGGUGAUAGCCCCGUACACGAAAGCGCUGUUUUGAUGAAAACGAGUAGGCCGGGACACGUGUAAUCCUGGCUGAAGAUGGGGGACCAUCCUCCAAGGCUAAAUACUCUGGCUGACCGAUAGUGAACAAGUACCGUGAGGAAAGGCGAAAAGAACCCCGGUGAGGGGAGUGAAAUAGACCCUGAAACCGCGCACGUACAAGCAGUCGGAGCCUCCUUUGUGGGGUGACGGCGUACCUUUGUAUAAUGGGUCAGCGAGUUAUUGUUAGUAGCAAGGUUAACCGUGUAGGGAGCCGUAGGAAACCGAGUCUUAAUAGGGCGUUUAGUUGCUGGCAAUAGACCCGAAACCGGGCGAUCUAGCCAUGGGCAGGUUGAAGGUGCCGUAACAGGCACUGGAGGACCGAACCGAAUAAUGUUGAAAAAUUAUCGGAUGACCUGUGGCUCGGAGUGAAAGGCUAAUCAAGCUCGGAGAUAGCUGGUUCUCCUCGAAAUCUAUUUAGGUAGAGCCUCGUGUCAUUAACUGCUGGGGGUAGAGCACUGUGUCGGCUAGGGGGUCAUCCCGACUUACCAACCCGAUGCAAACUCCGAAUACCAGUAAGUUCUAUCACGGGAGACAGACGGCGGGUGCUAACGUCCGUCGUCAAGAGAACAACCAGACCGCCAGCUAAGGUCCCAAAUAUCAGUUAAGUGGAAACGAUGUGGGAAGGCUUAGACAGCUAGGAGGUUGGCUUAGAAGCAGCCAUCCUUUAAAGAAAGCGUAAUAGCUCACUAGUCGAGUCGGCCUGCGCGGAAGAUAUAACGGGGCUCAAACUGAUAACCGAAGCUGCGGAUGCGUGCUUGCACGCAUGGUAGAGGAGCGUUCUGUAAGCCGUUGAAGGUGUGUCGAGAGGCAUGCUGGAGGUAUCAGAAGUGCGAAUGCUGACAUGAGUAACGACAAGGGGGGUGAAAAACCUCCCCGCCGAAAGAUCAAGGUUUCCUGUCCAACGUUAAUCGGGACAGGGUGAGUCGGCCCCUAAGGCGAGGCGGAAACGCGUAGUCGAUGGGAAAUCGGUUAAAAUUCCGAUACCGGCUGUUACUGCGAUGGAGUGACGGAGAAGGCUAGGCCAGCACGGCGUUGGUAGUCCGUGUUUAAGCGUGUAGGGAGAUCUCUUAGGUAAAUCCGGGAGGUUAUAUUCUGAGACGUGAUGACGAGUUUUUUGAGCGAUCAUAAGACGAAGUGGUUGAUGCCCUGCUUCCAGGAAAACCUUCUAAGCAUAGGUAACAGACGACCGUACUGUAAACCGACACAGGUGAUCAGGUAGAGAAUACCAAGGCGCUUGAGAGAACUUGGGUGAAGGAACUAGGCAAAAUGGUACCGUAACUUCGGGAGAAGGUACGCUCCUUUUGGUGAAGCAUUUACUGCGUAAGCUGAGGGGAGUCGAAGUAACCAGGCCCCUGCAACUGUUUAUUAAAAACACAGCACUCUGCAAACUCGCAAGAGGAAGUAUAGGGUGUGACGCCUGCCCGGUGCCGGAAGGUUAAUUGAUGGGGUUAGCUUAUGCGAAGCUCUUGAUCGAAGCCCCGGUAAACGGCGGCCGUAACUAUAACGGUCCUAAGGUAGCGAAAUUCCUUGUCGGGUAAGUUCCGACCUGCACGAAUGGCGUAACGACGGCCACACUGUCUCCACCCGAGACUCAGUGAAAUUGAAAUCGCUGUUAAGAUGCAGUGUACCCGCGGCUAGACGGAAAGACCCCGUGAACCUUUACUAUAGCUUCACAGUGAACUUUGGUACUACAUGUGUAGGAUAGGUGGGAGACUUUGAAGCGGCAACGCCAGUUGUCGUGGAGUCGACCUUGAAAUACCACCCUUGUAUUAUUGGAGUUCUAACCUAGACCCGUUAUCCGGGUCAGGGACCCUGUGUGGUGGGUAGUUUGACUGGGGCGGUCUCCUCCCAAAGAGUAACGGAGGAGUACGAAGGUGCGCUCAACACGGUCGGACAUCGUGUGAUGAGUAUAAUGGCAAAAGCGCGCUUGACUGCGAGAGAGACAUCUCAAGCAGGUACGAAAGUAGGUCAUAGUGAUCCGGUGGUUCUGUAUGGAAGGGCCAUCGCUCAACGGAUAAAAGGUACUCCGGGGAUAACAGGCUGAUACCGCCCAAGAGUUCAUAUCGACGGCGGUGUUUGGCACCUCGAUGUCGGCUCAUCUCAUCCUGGGGCUGAAGCAGGUCCCAAGGGUAUGGCUGUUCGCCAUUUAAAGUGGUACGCGAGCUGGGUUUAGAACGUCGUGAGACAGUUCGGUCCCUAUCUGCCGUGGGCGUUGGAGAUUUGAGAGGAGCUGCUCCUAGUACGAGAGGACCGGAGUGGACGAACCUCUGGUGUUCGGGUUGUCACGCCAGUGGCAUUGCCCGGUAGCUAUGUUCGGACAGGAUAACCGCUGAAAGCAUCUAAGCGGGAAGCCUCCCUCAAGACGAGAUCUCCCUUGGGGCUUGACCCCACUAAAGUGCCGUUGAAGACUACGACGUUGAUAGGCUGGGUGUGUAAGCACGGUGACGUGUUGAGCUAACCAGUACUAAUUGCACGUGAGGCUUGACCAUAUAAUCAC
rnacentral:rRNA from 1 species